CUGAACACAAUAAAGGCCAUAUAUGACAAACCCACAGCCAACAUCAUACUGAACAGAGAAAAGUUCAAAGCUUUUCCUCUAAGAUCUGGAACAGACAGACAAGAAUAUCCACUUUCACAACUUUUAUUCAGCAUAGUACCAGAAGUCCUAGCCAGAGCAAAAAUAAAGAGCAUCCACAUUGAUAAGGAAGAAGUCAAAUUGUCCUUGUUCGCAGAUGACAUUAUCUUAUACAUACAAAACCCUAAAAACUCCACCAAAAAACUUUUAGAAAUGAUAAAUGAAUUCUGUAAAUUUGCAGUACACAAAAUUAAUAUAUGAAAACCAGUAGAAUUUCUAUGCACCAACAACAAGCCAGCAGGAAAAAAUAAUCAAGAAAGCAAUCCCAUUUAUAAUAAUAGGUACAAAAAAUAAAAUAUCUAAGAAUAAAUUUAACCAAUGAUGUAAAAGACCUCUAUAAGGAAAACUAUAAAAAACUUAUGAAAUAAAGAAGACACAAAAAAGUAGAAAGACACCCCAUGUUCAUGGAUUGGAAGAAUUAAUAUUGUUAAAAUGACCAUCUGCCAAAAGUGAUCUACAGAUUUCAUGCAAUCCCUGUGAAAAUGCCAAAGACUUCAUAGAAAUUAGGAAAAAACAAUCCUAAAAUUCUAUGGAACCACAAAAGACUCCUAUCUAAGACAAGGUGGUUAAAAUUUAAGAUACUGUGCA
rnacentral:lncRNA from 1 species